AAGGCAGUGCUUUAAUGCCUUUCUAGUUGCCGUGUUAAUCUUUCUUUCCGCGAUAUCCAACUUAUCUACGUGGGGGGUCAUUAGGCUCCAAGUAGAUCCGGAAAAUGUUGAUUCUCUCCUCUUCUUAUUGUGAUAUAAAAUGUUUUUUGUUUCAUUUCAUUUACAUUGGGAAAUAGAGAAACGAUCAUUGUGUUUUGUUAGUUUUAAAAACUUUUGAUAUAUUUGUAUUUUACAUUAUAAGCAGUCAACCGAUUGACAAACUAGAAUUAUUUGAAUUCCGUGUGGAAAGAGGUCGGGUUAAUUUCGAGUGUUAUCUGCAAUCUAGAUGUUUAUAAAUCAUUUCAGUCGUUGAUAUAAUAAUUAAAGGUCGACUGAACAUGAAUUAUGUUAUACAAUUUAAAGCGCAUUUCUGUUUAUGCACGCGAACCCGUCUAACGUAAUUGUUAUUUCGCGGUUAUAUAAAGUAGCAAAUUAUCGUUCCUGAAUAGGUGGCGCCGUGGUAGCCGAUCCUGUUCUUCAACUUCCGGUUUCUGCACUGUGCAACUAUUACAGUUGCAUUUUUAAUUAACGAGGCCAAGUACAUGUUGUUGUGUACCUGGAUGUCAUUUAAGAGGAGGACAUGCAUUUCCAAAUGACUUAAAAAGAAGGAAAAGUUGGAUCAACGCCAUGGCCCAUACGCAGAUUGGACGAGAACACGAUGAAAUCGUGGAGUCCAUCUCAAUCAGCUGUUGUUUGCAAGGCACAUUUUACUGAAAAAGACUACGUGCAGGAAACUAUUCAUGGGCGCAAACCCACCAUACAGAGACUUAAGUCUACUGCCAUUCCCAGCCUAUUUUCCUGGAUUAAGCAAGAGACUGAAUCGUCCGCAAAAAGAAAAAUCAGGGCAGUUUCCUGUGAAAACAAAAGAACUAAA